UUGUGUGGAGUUCAGUGACAAAAAGGAUGAAAAUGGAAUGAAAUAGAGAAGAUCAGCAUGGCCCCUGCCGAAGGAUGAUACUGAACUUUGUGAAGUGUUCCAUUUCCAC
rnacentral:snRNA from 1 species